rnacentral:rRNA from 1 species
UCCCCAGACUCCUACGGGAGGCAGCAGUGGGGAAUAUUGCACAAUGGGGGAAACCCUGAUGCAGCGACGCCGCGUGAGCGAUGAAGUAUUUCGGUAUGUAAAGCUCUAUCAGCAGGGAAGAAGAUGACGGUACCUGACUAAGAAGCCCCGGCUAACUACGUGCCAGCAGCCGCGGGAAUACGUAGGGGGCAAGCGUUAUCCGGAUUCACUGGGUGUAAAGGGAGCGUAGACGGCGACGCAAGUCUGGAGUGAAAGCCCGGGGCCCAACCCCGGGACUGCUCUGGAAACUGCGUCGCUGGAGUACGGGAGGGGCAGGCGGAAUUCCUGGUGUAGCGGUGAAAUGCGUAGAUAUCAGGAGGAACGCCGGCGGCGAAGGCGGCCUGCUGGACCGUGACUGACGUUGAGGCUCGAGAGCGUGGGGGGCAAACAGGAUUAGAUACCCCGGUAU